GCCGUGGUGGUGGUGGUGUUAUCUCACUUUCGGCCACAAUUCCCUCAGCUAUCUUGAUUCAUUAUCAACAAUAUUGUACCUCUCAAGCAUAUGCGUCCAAGAGCCUUCAAAAUCUUUAAGCCAUUCAUUAUCAACAAUAUUGGCUAGGAGGACUAAAUGACAGACAAGAUGGAACCAGCAGACACAGUACUUAAGCUGGAGUACCUAGGGACAUAUGAGACAUGUAUCAGUUCUUCUUUGCUUAUAAGCAUUAGGUGCACAAUGGGCUAGGAGAACUGAAUGAC